rnacentral:rRNA from 1 species
GUGGGGAAUAUUGGACAAUGGGCGCAAGCCUGAUCCAGCCAUGCCGCGUGAGUGAUGAAGGCCUUAGGGUUGUAAAGCUCUUUCAGUGGGGACGAUAAUGACGGUACCCACAGAAGAAGCCCCGGCUAACUUCGUGCCAGCAGCCGCGGUAAUACGAAGGGGGCUAGCGUUGUUCGGAUUUACUGGGCGUAAAGCGCACGUAGGCGGAUCGUUAAGUCGGGGGUGAAAUCCUGGAGCUCAACUCCAGAACUGCCUUCGAUACUGGCGAUCUUGAGUCCGGAAGAGGUGAGUGGAACUCCUAGUGUAGAGGUGGAAGUCGUAGAUAUUAGGAAGAACACCAGUGGCGAAGGCGGCUCACUGGUCCGGUACUGACGCUGAGGUGCGAAAGCGUGGGGAGCAAACAGGAUUAGAAACCCGAGUAGUCC